GACGAACGCUGGCGGCGUGCUUAACACAUGCAAGUCGAACGGAAAGGCCCUGCUUUUGUGGGGUGCUCGAGUGGCGAACGGGUGAGUAACACGUGAGUAACCUGCCCUUGACUUUGGGAUAACUUCAGGAAACUGGGGCUAAUACCGGUUAGGAGCUCCUGCUGCAUGGUGGGGGUUGGAAAGUUUCGGCGGUUGGGGAUGGACUCGCGGCUUAUCAGCUUGUUGGUGGGGUAGUGGCUUACCAAGGCUUUGACGGGUAGCCGGCCUGAGAGGGUGACCUGCCACAUUGGGACUGAGAUACGGCCCAGACUCCUACGGGAGGCAGCAGUGGGGAAUAUUGCACAAUGGGCGGAAGCCUGAUGCAGCAACGCCGCGUGCGGGAUGACGGCCUUCGGGUUGUAAACCGCUUUCGCCUGUGACGAAGCGUGAGUGACGGUAAUGGGUAAAGAAGCACCGGCUAACUACGUG
rnacentral:rRNA from 1 species